rnacentral:rRNA from 1 species
GACGAACGCUGGCGGCGUGCUUAACACAUGCAAGUCGAACGGAAAGGCCCUGCUUGCAGGGUGCUCGAGUGGCGAACGGGUGAGUAACACGUGGGUGAUCUGCCCCUUACUUUGGGAUAAGCCUGGGAAACUGGGUCUAAUACUGGAUAGGACCAUGCUGUAGGUGGUGUGGUGGAAAGAUUAGUUUCGGUAAGGGAUGAGCUCGCGGCCUAUCAGCUUGUUGGUGGGGUAAUGGCCUACCAAGGCGUCGACGGGUAGCCGGCCUGAGAGGGUGGACGGCCACAUUGGGACUGAGAUACGGCGCAGACGCCUACGGGAGGCAGCAGUGGGGAAUAUUGCACAAUAGGCGCAAGCCUGAUGCAGCGACGGCGCGUGGGGGAUGACGGCCUUCGGGUUGUAAACUACUGUCGGCCAUGACGAAGCCCUUGUGGUGACGGUAGUGGUAGAAGAAGCACCGGCUAACUACGUG